UACGUAGGUGGCGAGCGUUGUCCGGAUUUAUUGGGCGUAAAGCGCGUGCAGGUGGUUGGUUAAGGCCGAUGUAAAAUCUCCCGGCUCACCUGGGAGGGCGCGUUGGCGACUGGCCGACUGGAGGCAGGUAGAGGCCGUGGAAUUCCCGGUGUAGUGGUGAGAUGCGUAGAUAUUCGGAAGAACACCAGUGGCGAAGGCGGCUCACUGGCCCGGUUCUGACGCUGAGGUGCGAAAGCGUGGGGAGCAAACAGG
rnacentral:rRNA from 1 species